rnacentral:misc_RNA from 1 species
UAGGAAGUUUCUCUGAACAAACGGAAGUUACAGAACAAGACGAGGAAUAAGAAAUGUACUGAAAAACUUUGGUAUAAGAUAUGACAACCGGAUCUUAGACUUUAACGCUUGAUGGCCCCUAGUAAAAUUUCACGGAAUCACCUAGGCAUCUGCUUUCGCUAUUUCCAAAGAAACCCGAUCAUGUUGGAAACAAAUAUUAUCCUCCCAGAUUCCCAUCACCUAAUAUCAUAUAUGUAUUAUAUAUUCAUAGCAUUAGAUUCACUCCACGUGCCCUGAGUGUGUCUCAACCCUUGCUGCCACACUUUUGCUCCCAUUGUUAGAUCUCCAUCUUCCUUCCCCAUGGUUUCCCCUAAAAUAUCAGAAACUUGUGUUGAACACAAGGUUGAAGAGGCUGAUCAUGAUAACUAUCAAAGGGCCAAGAGACUGCAACGAGCUCAAUGGCUUCGAGCAGCAAUUUUAGGUGCUAGUGAUGGUUUGCUCUCCACUACGUCACUAAUGCUUGGUGUAGGUGCAGCAGAAGAAGAUGGACAAUCCAUGAUUCUAUCUGGACUAGCUGGAGCUUUUGCAGGUGCCUGUAGUAUGGCUGUUGGGGAGUUUGUUUCUGUAUCAACCCAGAGAGAUAUUGAAAAGGCAAUUGCUUCUUACCGUAGUUCCAAAAAUAGUGAGCAUGAUGAUCUUGUGAGCAAGCUCGACAUCACCGCCACUCAGCCUAGCAAUGAGGAAGAAACCAAGCUCGGUGAGACUAACUUAGCUGUGAACACUUUGGAAAAUAUCCAGCGCGGCAAACUCAUCUGUGAACCGAUAGAGAAAGUGUCGCCAAGUGUAAUACUCGAGCCAACGCUGCCUUCUUCUAUAACUCCCGGGAGCUCUCCUAUGAUGAAAGUUCUUAAAAAAGAUGCAACUGGAAGUUCUGGUACAUCGUGUGAGGAUAGCAGAGAGGAGGUGCUGAUCACAAAUCCCUACAAGGCUGCAGCUGCCUCAGCUUUGGCUUUUCUCUGUGGGUCUUCUGUGCCGUUGGUGCCUGCCAUUCUUCUUACUCAAAAAGUUAUUAGGAUGGUGGUGAUUGCAGUCGUCACAUUAAUGGCAUUGGCUCUUUUUGGCAGCUUUGGAGCUUAUCUAGGUGGUUCACCAGUUAGGAUUUCUGCAGCAAGAGUCACGGCUGGUGGUUGGAUUGCCAUGGCAAUUACAUAUGGCUUGCUAAAGCCUUUCGACAGUGACGACAAGGGCAGUAAAGCCACAGAAUGAUUCCGGCAUCAGACCUGUAUGAAUCUUCACAACCUACUGUGGCCAAGGAA